rnacentral:lncRNA from 1 species
GUUUUAUGGCCACUGAAGUUGAAUUGAGGUUGGUCUACAUUGGUUCACCAAGAAAAAGAGUUGUUGCGGAGCGCUGGGCACUGGACGUGUAGCUGGGCUGAAGUAUUUGGGCUGUGAACAGAUCUUGUUGUGGUCUGUAACAUUAUGGUUGGUCUUCUGGUGGGCUACUUCUCAUCAGCUACUUGCUGAGCAUCUACAACAAUUACCAAGGACCAUGUAAAGUUGGAAAGUGGAACUACUCGGGCAGUCUUCAAGAAUAUGUUUGAACUCAAGCAAUUAUAGAAUUAUACAACUCCGUUUAACACACGGGUCUAGAUAGGGUUGUCCAAAAAGCUUGCGGCUUGGAGCUUGCUUGGAUUUAGCUCGGAAAAAGCUCACUCGAUAUGGCUCGGUUUGAAACUGAACCGAGUCCGCUCGGCUCGAUUAGAAAGUGAGCCUGGCUCG